rnacentral:pre_miRNA from 1 species
AAUUGUACCCAAUACAACGUUUUAUAAAUAUAAAGAAAGUUGUAUUAUGUACAAUAGU